GGGUUGUGAGGUUAAGCGACUAAGCGUACACGGUGGAUGCCCUGGCAGUCAGAGGCGAUGAAGGACGUGCUAAUCUGCGAUAAGCGUCGGUAAGGUGAUAUGAACCGUUAUAACCGGCGAUUUCCGAAUGGGGAAACCCAGUGUGUUUCGACACACUAUCAUUAACUGAAUCCAUAGGUUAAUGAGGCGAACCGGGGGAACUGAAACAUCUAAGUACCCCGAGGAAAAGAAAUCAACCGAGAUUCCCCCAGUAGCGGCGAGCGAACGGGGAGGAGCCCAGAGCCUGAAUCAGUGUGUGUGUUAGUGGAAGCGUCUGGAAAGGCGCGCGAUACAGGGUGACAGCCCCGUACACAAAAAUACACAUAUUGUGAGCUCGAUGAGUAGGGCGGGACACGUGGUAUCCUGUCUGAAUAUGGGGGGACCAUCCUCCAAGGCUAAAUACUCCUGACUGACCGAUAGUGAACCAGUACCGUGAGGGAAAGGCGAAAAGAACCCCGGCGAGGGGAGUGAAAAAGAACCUGAAACCGUGUACGUACAAGCAGUGGGAGCCUCUUUUAUGGGGUGACUGCGUACCUUUUGUAUAAUGGGUCAGCGACUUAUAUUCUGUAGCAAGGUUAACCGAAUAGGGGAGCCGAAGGGAAACCGAGUCUUAACUGGGCGUUAAGUUGCAGGGUAUAGACCCGAAACCCGGUGAUCUAGCCAUGGGCAGGUUGAAGGUUGGGUAACACUAACUGGAGGACCGAACCGACUAAUGUUGAAAAAUUAGCGGAUGACUUGUGGCUGGGGGUGAAAGGCCAAUCAAACCGGGAGAUAGCUGGUUCUCCCCGAAAGCUAUUUAGGUAGCGCCUCGUGAAUUCAUCUCCGGGGGUAGAGCACUGUUUCGGCAAGGGGGUCAUCCCGACUUACCAACCCGAUGCAAACUGCGAAUACCGGAGAAUGUUAUCACGGGAGACACACGGCGGGUGCUAACGUCCGUCGUGAAGAGGGAAACAACCCAGACCGCCAGCUAAGGUCCCAAAGUCAUGGUUAAGUGGGAAACGAUGUGGGAAGGCCCAGACAGCCAGGAUGUUGGCUUAGAAGCAGCCAUCAUUUAAAGAAAGCGUAAUAGCUCACUGGUCGAGUCGGCCUGCGCGGAAGAUGUAACGGGGCUAAACCAUGCACCGAAGCUGCGGCAGCGACACUAUGUGUUGUUGGGUAGGGGAGCGUUCUGUAAGCCUGUGAAGGUGUACUGUGAGGUAUGCUGGAGGUAUCAGAAGUGCGAAUGCUGACAUAAGUAACGAUAAAGCGGGUGAAAAGCCCGCUCGCCGGAAGACCAAGGGUUCCUGUCCAACGUUAAUCGGGGCAGGGUGAGUCGACCCCUAAGGCGAGGCCGAAAGGCGUAGUCGAUGGGAAACAGGUUAAUAUUCCUGUACUUGGUGUUACUGCGAAGGGGGGACGGAGAAGGCUAUGUUGGCCGGGCGACGGUUGUCCCGGUUUAAGCGUGUAGGCUGGUUUUCCAGGCAAAUCCGGAAAAUCAAGGCUGAGGCGUGAUGACGAGGCACUACGGUGCUGAAGCAACAAAUGCCCUGCUUCCAGGAAAAGCCUCUAAGCAUCAGGUAACAUCAAAUCGUACCCCAAACCGACACAGGUGGUCAGGUAGAGAAUACCAAGGCGCUUGAGAGAACUCGGGUGAAGGAACUAGGCAAAAUGGUGCCGUAACUUCGGGAGAAGGCACGCUGAUAUGUAGGUGAAGCGACUUGCUCGUGGAGCUGAAAUCAGUCGAAGAUACCAGCUGGCUGCAACUGUUUAUUAAAAACACAGCACUGUGCAAACACGAAAGUGGACGUAUACGGUGUGACGCCUGCCCGGUGCCGGAAGGUUAAUUGAUGGGGUCAGCGCAAGCGAAGCUCUUGAUCGAAGCCCCGGUAAACGGCGGCCGUAACUAUAACGGUCCUAAGGUAGCGAAAUUCCUUGUCGGGUAAGUUCCGACCUGCACGAAUGGCGUAAUGAUGGCCAGGCUGUCUCCACCCGAGACUCAGUGAAAUUGAACUCGCUGUGAAGAUGCAGUGUACCCGCGGCAAGACGGAAAGACCCCGUGAACCUUUACUAUAGCUUGACACUGAACAUUGAGCCUUGAUGUGUAGGAUAGGUGGGAGGCUUAGAAGUGUGGACGCCAGUCUGCAUGGAGCCGACCUUGAAAUACCACCCUUUAAUGUUUGAUGUUCUAACGUUGACCCGUAAUCCGGGUUGCGGACAGUGUCUGGUGGGUAGUUUGACUGGGGCGGUCUCCUCCUAAAGAGUAACGGAGGAGCACGAAGGUUGGCUAAUCCUGGUCGGACAUCAGGAGGUUAGUGCAAUGGCAUAAGCCAGCUUGACUGCGAGCGUGACGGCGCGAGCAGGUGCGAAAGCAGGUCAUAGUGAUCCGGUGGUUCUGAAUGGAAGGGCCAUCGCUCAACGGAUAAAAGGUACUCCGGGGAUAACAGGCUGAUACCGCCCAAGAGUUCAUAUCGACGGCGGUGUUUGGCACCUCGAUGUCGGCUCAUCACAUCCUGGGGCUGAAGUAGGUCCCAAGGGUAUGGCUGUUCGCCAUUUAAAGUGGUACGCGAGCUGGGUUUAGAACGUCGUGAGACAGUUCGGUCCCUAUCUGCCGUGGGCGCUGGAGAACUGAGGGGGGCUGCUCCUAGUACGAGAGGACCGGAGUGGACGCAUCACUGGUGUUCGGGUUGUCAUGCCAAUGGCACUGCCCGGUAGCUAAAUGCGGAAGAGAUAAGUGCUGAAAGCAUCUAAGCACGAAACUUGCCCCGAGAUGAGUUCUCCCUGACUCCUUGAGAGUCCUGAAGGAACGUUGAAGACGACGACGUUGAUAGGCCGGGUGUGUAAGCGCAGCGAUGCGUUGAGCUAACCGGUACUAAUGAACCGUGAGGCUUAACCUUACAACGCCGAAGCUGUU
rnacentral:rRNA from 1 species